GGCCCCGCUUUCCUAGGACAGCAGCCACCUCCCCGGAACUCGCCUGCCUGCCCUUCAAGCCCUCCCGUGCCCGGCAUCCUUCUCUGCGGCCUCCUGUCCCCUCGACCUUUGAGGUGGGCAUUACUGGGGCCCAGGCUGGCUGUUCUCUGUCCACACGCCCCCAACCGGUGUCCGCACCAGGCAUCCUCUGCCUUCCACCCUCGGAGACCUGCGGCUGGCCUCCUCCACGUGUCCCCUGCCGCCUCUCCAGUUGUCUCCCAGACCCCAGUCCUGGCCCAGGGCCUGCUCCUCGGUCCCAACCUGCUCCCUCCCACUGUCCCCGUCUUCCUCAGCGACCGCUCAGGAGAGAACCCUGGAGCUGCUGAUCUCCCCGUCUGCCCACAUCCAGUCCUUCCAAAGUCACUCACUUUUCCCGUUCUCCUCUCUCCACUGUCUCCUCUGCCUGCCACUGUCCCCGCUGGUCCCCUGGCCAGAUCUGUGUGUAUUUGUGCAACACCAGACCCCCUGGAUGUGAGCUCCAGGGGGCUGUGCCGGGGGCCAGUACCAGUGCCCCCCUGCGCUCCUUUAGCAUUUCAUAAAGAAUUGUCAGCCGGCCAGGGGAACAGACCGAGGCUGCUCUUCAGCACAUGGUCCACCCCUCGCUCACUGUCACAUCUGUGCCCCUCCCCAGCGUCCCACCCCAGGGCUCCGCAGAGACCCCAGACCCCUCCUCAGGCCCAGCCUCAUAUUCCCCCUCCUGGCCCAGCUGAGCUUCCUCCCCCGUCAGGCUUUCUUCUGCCCUGUCUGUGUCAUCGUCUCUCUGUCUGUCUCUCUCUGCCUCACUCUUUCUCAUUUGUCUCUCUCUCUCUGCCUCCUCUUUUUGUCCCAGGAAUUUUAUUUAUUGCAAAAGCAACAUCCCUAACAGCGUUAAGGGAAAUUUUUAAGGAGAAAAUUUCACUCCUGGCCCAAGCCAGCCACUUGGGCACUUACAGCACCUACUUCCCUCCUUUUCACAUUUUCCCCUGGUCUUGGCACACCGUCCACGUUUGCCACACACAGCUCGGGAGAUGA
rnacentral:lncRNA from 1 species